rnacentral:lncRNA from 1 species
GUCGGGAUAUCUGCAUUAUGUAUCAUGUAAUUACUCAAACCCCCCUGAACCUCCCGACAUUGAUGUUUGAGGCUAUGAGAGAGACCUUGAAUAGAUCCAAGGCACACUUGCCUUUUGGUAUGGCUCUCACUUUAGUAUCUAGGAGGUUCGGAGUUAGCUUUGAGGGGGAGGCUGUAGCUAGGCUAUCUCACUUCGACACUAUCAACCGCUAUACUUUGCACCGCAUGGGAUUUUCCAAAACUGAUGGGGGUUGGACAAAAGGUGUGGAAGAGAGAGCUAAGGACAGAGCAGAGGAAGAAGGAC